ACGAAAAAUGUACGUCAAUCAAAUGCAAGAACUCACUUAGCGUUCAGUGAGCUGAACGCUUGUAGUACUGAAUGCACCCAUUGGUCGUGCUGGCUUCGCGUGUUCCGUUCUCCAUGGGCGACUUUAAGCACUCGACGUGGAAAAGUGCAAAUGGCGAUCAGUGAAAUAUCUCUCUCGUUCGCUCAUUCGCAAAUUAGUUACUGUGUUAGUGCAUAUGUCAUGCAGCUUGUGCUUAUACAACUCAAGAGGUUGAAGACUGAGUAUUGAAUUUUCACAAUGUCUUGUGGGUAUUCAAUUUGUCAGUAAUACUCAUGAAGAAGGUACAAUUGCAUUGAUUCAUCGAUCAUGGUUUACGCCUCUGGAAAGUCAAGUCUGGUGGCCUCCAUACAAGACAAGUGUUCAAUUUAAAAAAGCACUGUUUACUGAAGAACAAGUAAACGAAAAUACAUGGGCAUUGUAUGAGGUGAAACGUAUAUUUUUUACUUGUGAUGAAUUUGAUAAGGCCUUUAAAAAACUAAAAGAAUGUGAAGAAGUGUCUGAUUUACAAUCUACUGAAGUAGAAGAUGACGUACAAAGUAAGAAAAGAAAACACAAACCAAAUUUAAAAUAUAUCAUAAGUAGUGAAGACGAAUACGAUGAAAACUGUGGUUCUCUACAGCCACUAGCAAAACUUGAUAAACCAGGCAAACUUGAUAAACCAGACAAACAUAAUUUACAUUUAUAAGGAUAAGAAUAUUAUCAUUGUUUUUCCCUUCAUUUAUUCUUGUACUAUGUUACAAUAUGAUAAAAUAUUAUGCACAU